GGGCCUGUAGCUCAGCUUGGACAUAAUAUGCCAAAAAGAGUACGGCACUCCUAAUGCCGGGGUCGAGGGUUCAAAUCCUUCCAGGCCCG
rnacentral:tRNA from 1 species